GCUGCAUCGCGUGAAUUAUGUGCCGCGACGAUGCAAUAACGGUGUCAUAUUGUGGGUCGGAAUCCGGCGCAUGGAAUUCCUGUGACUGCACAGGAACACGAUGUCAGUGAGCUGUAGGGGAUGAUGUUGCAAGGAUGUUGCAAGGAUGCAAGGAUGUUGCAAGGAUGUUGCAAGGAUGCAAGGUGGUGAUGUUGUUGCAGAUGAUGUUGCCAGUGGUGGUUCCGGAUCGCAUCGACAAACGGGCUGGAUGGGAGUAGGGUGAAUAGGGAUAUGCAGGGAAAGGUAGAGAAGAUGAAGACUCUCUCUCGGUUUCUGUUGUUCUGUGCAGGUCCAGGUGCGGUGUGAUGUCCAGUGGGUGUGCCGGGGAUGGAUUCAUCCAACGGUGAAAUGCACGACAUGGGGCUACGGCAGUGAAAAUGGAGGAGCGCCUCCAGCCCCAAUUAAUACAAACUUGGGGUGCGCCUGCCACCCCACAGUGGAGCGUAACAGUUUGGUGGGGCUCCUCGCUAGAAGCCACGCCCUAGUUUAUUGCCUUUUUCUCUGCUUUUUUAUUUCCCCAAACCCCCCCCCCCUUUCCCAUAAACUUCUCCUGGCUUCGUUGAAUACAGUCCAGUUCCCAGGGCACUCACCAUCGAUGUGGAAGUUUGUUAGGCUUAGAUGUAGCGACGAGGAGCUGCUCAGGACUGUGUGUGCGUGAUGAAUUCUUUCUUAUUUUUCCAGGGGGGGGGGGGACCAUGAUGGAGCAUGAACUACUUUAUUUAGAUCCUUCCUAAGGAGGCGGCCGUAUCAUUCUUGGGCUGAGCGCCUCCUCUAUUGCCAACUUUAGCCUGUGAUCUAUCACAUCCAUCUAAUCUACUUUGUAGAAAUCGUUCUUGUCUCCACAGCGGGCCGUUCUCGCCUUCAAGAGUGCCUGCAACUUCGCUACCAUCGCCUCCCCGCUCUUGUGCGGACGCAGCCAGCAGUUAUUGUUUCACGCCCCCCGUCUCUAGUAUAAGAUGGCACUGGGACAUGUCCUAUUGUAGACGCAACUCGCCCUGGUGUAGUGUUCUGGGGUUUAGUGACCCAAGUACUUCGUUGAAGCUUAGGGUUGCCCAGCCUAGGUAGCGCUCGGCGACAUGAGUCGUCCAGAGGACCUAUGUUGGGUGACGGACCAGGUGCUCAUGCCCGUGGUGGACGGGCAGGAUUUCUCCGGAGAGGGGGACCUUUGAUGAGGAAUUUGUAGUUUGGGUGCUGAAAGUGUUGCAUUCUAAGCGUCCGAGUGGGGAAAAUGGUCACUUCAUGCGGGUAAUUGCCUGAAGUACCAGGAGUGCCGGUUGUUGAAGGACACUGAAGUGUGUACAUUCUGUGAACCGCGGGCUAGCGCGCGAGGAAGGCGGUUCUCACCAUUGGACGACCUAUGAUGUACUGAUGAAAGGGGCAAAUUCUUUAGGCAUGUGAUAUUGGUGGCGCUCAAUCAGAUGACCAUGCCUGUGAUGCUGGCGUUGCCAUCAGAUUGAGCCGCGCCAAUAUCACAUCCUUACUUCUCUAUCUCUUGAAUCUUAUUGCAUUCGUUGCUGUAAUGCGUGUAUUGUGUCCCUUAGAACCUAACUGUCUAUUGCUGCCUCUACGCCUUUAACAUCCGACGAUGCUGGAAUUUAUCAGGCUGUCUGUAUGAGGUUCUUGGUGCUCAAUAUCUCGAGCUCUAAGGAGCCGAUUCAGCCUUUAUGUGGACUUUCUGUACUCAUGCGGGAUCGUUGGGUACAAUAGUUGUUUACGCCUGGAUUGUUGAUACGCUGAAGUGCUUGUUGUGUUCGGUUUACCGUUUGCUUCUUUCAAUGGUUGCCGCUGCGCCCGUCCGCUCCCCCAGCAAUCUACUACCAAACUCACGCAAACACUAUCGUGAUAAGUUCUCAACCGAGUUAACUCAGGUCACGGCGAUGGUUCUCCUCGUAGGUCAUGAUCUCGUAUAUUCCAGCGUCAAACUCCCCGCUGGGUUGUGCCUCCCAUUUUUCGGCGAACCCGCUUGCUCGGCAGGCAGCCGCGACGAAUAGGAAGUUGAGUAGCCUCGCCACCGGUUUUGGUUAUAAUCGCAUUACCCUGUGGACUCCAAGAUUGUCGGGAUGAAAAAACCAAGUAACGGUGACGAACAUAUCGAUGAAAUUACCAGUAAAUACCUGGAGCUUCUCAGACGUGCAUUUUCAACCCCUAUUGACGGCUUUCAUAAAUGCGUGGGUCUCCUGUGUAGGCAUUUGUUGUGGCCCUAGUUUCCAUAUGAUCGCCUUAGGACCUUAGCAUGCAUGUAGCAUUCAUUCCUAAUUGCUUGACUUCUGGGUUAGCGCUGUAAAAUAUGUAUUACAUUGACCAGAGACCUGCUCAGAAAUGGACAUGUGGAUACGUUUUGUUAGACGAAGCUUGUGAAUGUAAAAACACAUCAUCACUAUUACUUUCUAUUA